UAUAGUUUGCAUAGCACCUUGGGAACCUUAUGGCUAAGAAGGUUAUGGCCCAAUGGCUUUUCUGAUGUUCCUGGAAGUGUGGCUGCUAUCUUGUCUCUCUUGUUGAUUGCGCUGUUAAUUUCUCUGGCUAAGCUAAAACUUCACCCCCUCCCAGACGUUACUGACCCAUGGGGCCUAGCCAGCCUGAGGUCGAAGACCCUCCUCAGGCAUGCAUCCACAGGUUCCAUAGCUGGACAUAUCAAGCAAAUUAGGCAGUGUGAACUGCACAAACCAUAUGAGCCAAGAAGAAAUUGGAAAAAAGCUUGUUUACUAUGACUGAGCAAACCAAAAUUUCUUCACCUCCUUUCACUCAGG